rnacentral:rRNA from 1 species
AAUGAACGCUGGCGGCGUGCUUAACACAUGCAAGUCGAACGAGAAAGUGGACUUCGGUCCAUGAGUAGAGUGGCGCACGGGUGAGUAACACGUGGGUAAUCUACCCUUCAAUUUGGGAUAACAUCGCGAAAGUGAUGCUAAUACCGAAUAACAUCCAGAGGUCUGCGGAUUUUUGGAUCAAAGAUGGCCAAUCCUUGGAAGCUAUUGUUGGAGGAUGAGCCCGCGUACCAUUAGCUUGUUGGUAGGGUAAUGGCCUACCAAGGCUACGAUGGUUAGCUGGUCUGAGAGGAUGAUCAGCCACACUGGAACUGACACACGGUCCAGACUCCUACGGGAGCAGCAGUGAGGAAUUUGCGCAAGUGGGGAAACCCUGACGCAGCAACGCCGCGUGAGUGAUGAAGGCUCUUGGGUCGUAAACUCUGUCAGCAGGGAAGAAGUUACAUACGGUUAAUACCCGUAUGUAUUGACGGUACCUG